CAGUCGCCGCGGGAAUACGUAGGGUCCGAGCGUUGUCCGGAAUUAUUGGGCGUAAAGGGCUCGUAGGCGGUUUGUUGCGUCGGGAGUGAAAACCCAGGGCUUAACUUUGGGCUUGCUUUCGAUACGGGCAGACUUGAGGCAUUGAGGGGAGAACGGAAUUCCUGGUGUAGCGGUGAAAUGCGCAGAUAUCAGGAGGAACACCGGUGGCGAAGGCGGUUCUCUGGCAAUGUUCUGACGCUGAGGAGCGAAAGUGUGGGGAGCGAACAGGAUUAGAUACCCCAGUAGUCCCUGUCUCUUAUAA
rnacentral:rRNA from 1 species